rnacentral:snoRNA from 1 species
AGCACUUGGGUGUGUUUUUGUUUAACUUCUGGACAAAGACUCAGGUGCAAAAAAUAAAUCCUCUUUAGCAACCCAGAACUCGUGGUUCAGUAUGAGUUUUGAUACACACAAGAAGGUAUAAG